rnacentral:rRNA from 1 species
GAUGAACGCUGGCGGCGUGCCUAAUACAUGCAAGUAGAACGCUGAAGGAGGAGCUUGCUCUUCUGGAUGAGUUGCGAACGGGUGAGUAACGCGUAGGUAACCUGCCUGGUAGCGGGGGAUAACUAUUGGAAACGAUAGCUAAUACCGCAUGACAACAGUUAUUGCAUGAUAACUGUUUAAAAGGGGCAACUGCUCCACUACCAGAUGGACCUGCGUUGUAUUAGCUAGUUGGUGAGGUAACGGCUCACCAAGGCGACGAUACAUAGCCGACCUGAGAGGGUGAUCGCCGACACUGGGACUGAGACACGGCCCAGACUCCUACGGGAGGCAGCAGUAGGGAAUCUUCGGCAAUGGACGGAAGUCUGACCGAGCAACGCCGCGUGAGUGAAGAAGGUUUUCGGAUCGUAAAGCUCUGUUGUAAGAGAAGAACGAGUGUGAGAGUGGAAAGUUCACACUGUGACGGUAUCUUACCAGAAAGGGACGGCUAACUACGUG